AUUGAACGCUGGCGGCAUGCCUUACACAUGCAAGUCGAACGGUAACAGGUCUUCGGAUGCUGACGAGUGGCGAACGGGUGAGUAAUACAUCGGAACGUGCCUAGUAGUGGGGGAUAACUACUCGAAAGAGUGGCUAAUACCGCCUGAGAUCUACGGAUGAAAGCAGGGGAUCGCAAGACCUUGUGCUACUAGAGCGGCCGAUGGCAGAUUAGGUAGUUGGUGGGAUAAAAGCUUACCAAGCCGACGAUCUGUAGCUGGUCUGAGAGGACGAUCAGCCACACUGGGACUGAGAAACGGCCCAGACUCCUACGGGAGGUAGCAGUGGGGAAUUUUGGACAAUGGGCGCAAGCCUGAUCCAGCAAUGCCGCGUGCAGGAUGAAGGCCUUCGGGUUGUAAACUGCUUUUGUACGGAACGAAAAGCCCCGGGUUAAUACCCUGGGGUCAUGACGGUACCGUAAGAAUAAGCACCGGCUAACUACGUGCCAGCCGCCGCCGUAA
rnacentral:rRNA from 1 species